GAUGAACGCUGGCGGCGUGCCUAAUACAUGCCAGUCGAGCGAACGGACGAGAAGCUUGCUUCUCUGAUGUUAGCGGCGGACGGGUGAGUAACACGUGGAUAACCUACCUAUAAGACUGGGAUAACUUCGGGAAACCGGAGCUAAUACCGGAUGAUAUUUUGAACCGCAUGGUUCAAAAGUGAAAGACGGUCUUGCUGUCACUUAUAGAUGGAUCCGCGCUGCAUUAGCUAGUUGGUAAGGUAACGGCUUACCAAGGCAACGAUGCAUAGCCGACCUGAGAGGGUGAUCGGCCGCACUGGAACUGAGACACGGUCCAGACUCCUACGGGAGGCAGCAGUAGGGAAUCUUCCGCAAUGGGCGAAAGCCUGACGGAGCAACGCCGCGUGAGUGAUGAAGGUCUUCGGAUCGUAAAACUCUGUUAUUAGGGAAGAACAUAUGUGUAAGUAACUGUGCACAUCUUGACGGUACCUAAUCAGAAAGCCACGGCUAACUACGUG
rnacentral:rRNA from 1 species